rnacentral:rRNA from 1 species
ACGAACGCUGGCGGCGCGCCUAAUACAUGCAAGUCGAGCGAGAAGACGUAGCAAUACGUUUGUAAAGCGGCGAACGGGUGAGGAAUACAUGGGUAACCUACCCUCGAGUGGGGAAUAACUAGCCGAAAGGUUAGCUAAUACCGCGUACGCUCCUUGGACUUCGGUUCAGGGAGGAAAGCGAUACCGUGGGUAUCGCGCUCUUGGAUGGGCUCAUGUCCUAUCAGCUUGUUGGUGAGGUAACGGCUCACCAAGGCUUCGACGGGUAGCUGGUCUGAGAGGACAAUCAGCCACACUGGCACUGCGACACGGGCCAGACUCCUACGGGAGGCAGCAGUAAGGAAUAUUGCGCAAUGGGCGAAAGCCUGACGCAGCGACGCCGCGUGGGGGAGUGAAGGUCUUCGGA